rnacentral:rRNA from 1 species
UUGAACGCUGGCGGCAUGCCUUACACAUGCAAGUCGAGCGGCAGCGCGGGGGCAACCCUGGCGGCGAGCGGCGAACGGGUGAGUAAUGCAUCGGAACGUGUCCUUUUGUGGGGGAUAACCAGUCGAAAGACUGGCUAAUACCGCAUGAGCUCGAGAGAGGAAAGCAGGGGACCGCAAGGCCUUGCGCGAGAGGAGCGGCCGAUGCCCGAUUAGCUAGUUGGUGAGGUAAAAGCUCACCAAGGCGACGAUCGGUAGCUGGUUUGAGAGAACGACCAGCCACACUGGGACUGAGACACGGCCCAGACUCCUACGGGAGGCAGCAGUGGGGAAUUUUGGACAAUGGGGGCAACCCUGAUCCAGCCAUGCCGCGUGUGUGAAGAAGGCCUUCGGGUUGUAAAGCACUUUCGGACGGAACGAAAUCGCGCGGGUGAAUAUCCCGCGUGGAUGACGGUACCGUAAGAAGAAGCACCGGCUAACUACGU